rnacentral:rRNA from 1 species
UUAUCCAGGCAAAUCCGGAUAAUCAAGGCUGAGGUGUGAUGACGAGGCACUACGGUGCUGAAGUAACAAAUGCCCUGCUUCCAGGAAAAGCCUCUAAGCAUCAGGUAACAUCAAAUCGUACCCCAAACCGACACAGGUGGUCAGGUAGAGAAUACCAAGGCGCUUGAGAGAACUCGGGUGAAGGAACUAGGCAAAAUGGUGCCGUAACUUCGGGAGAAGGCACGCUGGUGUGUAGGUGAAGCCCCUGCGGGUGGAGCUGAGACCAGUCGAAGAUACCAGCUGGCUGCAACUGUUUAUUAAAAACACAGCACUGUGCAAACACGAAAGUGGACGUAUACGGUGUGACGCCUGCCCGGUGCCGGAAGGUUAAUUGAUGGGGUUAUCCGUAAGGAGAAGCUCUUGAUCGAAGCCCCGGUAAACGGCGGCCGUAACUAUAACGGUCCUAAGGUAGCGAAAUUCCUUGUCGGGUAAGUUCCGACCUGCACGAAUGGCGUAAUGAUGGCCAGGCUGUCUCCACCCGAGACUCAGUGAAAUUGAACUCGCUGUGAAGAUGCAGUGUACCCGCGGCAAGACGGAAAGACCCCGUGAACCUUUACUAUAGCUUGACACUGAACAUUGAGCCUUGAUGUGUAGGAUAGGUGGGAGGCUUUGAAGCGUGGACGCCAGUCUGCGUGGAGCCAACCUUGAAAUACCACCCUUUAAUGUUUGAUGUUCUAACGUUGGCCCCUGACCGGGGUUGCGGACAGUGUCUGGUGGGUAGUUUGACUGGGGCGGUCUCCUCCCAAAGCGUAACGGAGGAGCACGAAGGUUAGCUAAUCCUGGUCGGACAUCAGGAGGUUAGUGCAAUGGCAUAAGCUAGCUUGACUGCGAGCGUGACGGCGCGAGCAGGUGCGAAAGCAGGUCAUAGUGAUCCGGUGGUUCUGAAUGGAAGGGCCAUCGCUCAACGGAUAAAAGGUACUCCGGGGAUAACAGGCUGAUACCGCCCAAGAGUUCAUAUCGACGGCGGUGUUUGGCACCUCGAUGUCGGCUCAUCACAUCCUGGGGCUGAAGUAGGUCCCAAGGGUAUGGCUGUUCGCCAUUUAAAGUGGUACGCGAGCUGGGUUUAGAACGUCGUGAGACAGUUCGGUCCCUAUCUGCCGUGGGCGCUGGAGAAUUGAGGGGGGCUGCUCCUAGUACGAGAGGACCGGAGUGGACGCAUCACUGGUGUUCGGGUUGUCAUGCCAAUGGCACUGCCCGGUAGCUAAAUGCGGAAGAGAUAAGUGCUGAAAGCAUCUAAGCACGAAACUUGCCCCGAGAUGAGUUCUCCCUGAGACUUUAAGUCUCCUGAAGGAACGUUGAAGACGACGACGUUGAUAGGCCGGGUGUGUAAGCGCAGCGAUGCGUUGAGCUAACCGGUACUAAUGAACCGUGAGGCUUAACCUU